rnacentral:RNase_P_RNA from 1 species
AGUGCGUCGGGCAGCCGCGGGCAGCAGCCGAAAGGCGCUGUGCGAGGAAAGUCCGGGCUUCACAGAGCAAAAAUAACGGCUAACGGCCGCCGGGGGCGACCCCAGGGAAAGUGCAACAGAAAAUGACCGCUUUUUAGUUCGUGAAUAAAGGUCGGUCUUUUGAUCGGCUUUUGUUCCCGAGCGCAGGCUCAGCCUGUAAGUAAGGAUGGAAAGGUGAGGUAAGAGCUCACCGGAGGGCGGGAGACCGCUCUGCCGUGUAAACCCUAUUUGAAGCAACACCGCGGAAGGACAAAUGCGCUUGCUCGGCGCGUCCUGUGGAGGUGGCAUCGAGCAGCCGCGGCAACGCGCUGCCAAGAUAGAUGGCUGCCCAAGACAGAACCCGGCUUACAGACGCACUCG